rnacentral:rRNA from 1 species
GACGAACGCUGGCGGCGUGCCUAAUACAUGCAAGUCGAACGCAGUGGGGACGGGUGAGUAACACGUGGGUAACCUCCCAUCAGAGGGGAUAACACUUGGAAACAGGUGCUAAACCGAUACUGAUGGAUGGACCCGCGGUGCUUUAGCGAGUUGGGGAGGUAACGUCUCACCAAGGUAACGGUGCAUAGCCGACCUGAGAGGGGUAUCGGCCAAACGGGGCCGUAGCAUCGGCCCAGAAUCCGACGGGAGGCAGCAGUAGGGAAUUUUCGGCAAUGGACGAAAGUCUGACCGAGCAACGCCGCGUGAGUGAAGAAGGUUUUCGGAUCGUAAAACUCUGUUGUUAGAGAAGCGGUAUCUAACCAGAAAGCCACGGCUAACUACGUGCCAGCAGCCGCGGUAAUAC